GGGGUGUGCUCAGAGCAGGGAAGCUAAAGAAUAGCUCCUCUGUUUACAACAUACCCAACAGGAAUCUGGGGCAAUUGUAGUGAGGGGCACAACACUUGUGGCCUCCUUAUGAGCAUGUGCCCUACAGGU